UGAAACCCCGUUCUCCAAAGGUGUGCCCUGUGCUUCGCAACAAGAUCUUCCAUCUGGAAAUAGAAAUAAUCAGUGCAAAUGUGUCCACUCUGAAUUGAGAAAUGUUACAUGUAUUAAUACAAAGAGAAAUUCUUUUUAUUACGGUUCCAUGAUCAGUAUCCUCUUGGAGCUGAAGUGCUCUCAUACGCUCAGCAGCCAGGUUCAUCAGAGAACCAACUCUCCAGCAUGGAGACAUUGCUGCUCUCACUCAUUUCUCUAUUUAUUUUCAGUUUCCCAUCCUAUCAGCUCAAAUGAAUUAGGGUGGGAGGAGGUAAAGCAAUUGGAAUGGGCAGUUUUCAAGGCUGCGCUGAGUAUAAGGGGAGUAAGGAGAGACAUUCUCAAAACAGAGUGAGAGGAGCUGGGACCAGACCAGCAUCACUCCAGCAGGCUGCACAAGUUGGUAUCCUGCCUCCAGGAGAAGCCAGGAGGAGAUGCUGAAGGAGAAAAUAGAAAGAAGGAGGAGAUCCUCAUUCUCCUGGAGGAUCAGCUCUCACUGCAGUGUGAAACCCCGCCGGCUAGUUAACAGCGGCUGGUCAUUUCCUCGUUUCACAACAUGUUGCCACUUCUCGGUUGCCCCAGAUCUUUCUCACUCUCCUGUAAGUCAGCUGUCUAAGUGGUUUAGCAGGAAGGGCCAAACCUGUGAUGCACUUAACCCGAGAGGACACCUCAUCCUCGAAAGUGGUGCAUUUCUGAGGUGUCCCUGGAGGGCAGUGACUCAUGUUUCCCCUGGCUCUGAUGUGGUGCAGGACCUUCCACGUGAAGUUAUCACGCCGUUUCUGCGGGGGUCUGCCUUCCAUCUUACCCUGGAAAACCUGCUUCUUGGACGUACAAGGAAUCCCCUGCAGAAAACUGUAUCGCAAAUAUGAGAGCCUGUCACUUACAGAGAUCUUAACUGCUGUAAAUGCAAUCUUUUGCAAGGAGAGCUGACCAUUAAUGCUUGAAUUGUACAAGUCUUGUUGUAAAUCUUCAAAUGGAGCUGAGUAGCAUGUUUAGACCAAAGCAAGAAAAAAAUGUAACAUCAACAUAUUGCAAAACUUGCACUGAUUAUGCUACACUGUUCCUAAUUAAAACUGCAAAUUUUCAACAUUUUUUACUUUUUCUCUUAUUAAUCUAAUGGUAGGUUUGCCUGUAUGCUGUCCAGGACUAGACAGUCUGUACUUGUCCAGGUUAUGGAGAAACAUUAUUUCUGUAUCAAAUGAGCUCAGUAUCUCCACAAGUGAGAGAGACUAUAUUUACUAGUCUGGAUUCUUCUAUGCAUACUACGGCCUUUUCUUCACGGGAGCCUAAUCCUAAUCAGUUUAGUCAAUGGGAAUGGUGUCAUUAAAUUCAAUGAGAGCAGGAUCAGACCGUGAGUUAUUUUAGCCAAGCUAACGUGCCACAAAAAAAUGUGUUGAAUCAUUUAUUAAAACAAAAAGAAAAAGAAAAAGAAAGAAAACAUAUGGUUAGAUAAUCACUGGGAAUUACUAAAUACCUGCAGAGGAUAGUUGCAAGCAUGGAUAUUUGAAUUUUCACCACAGAUUUCUUGGGUGUUUUUUGCCCAGCUGCUCUGUCUGGACAAAAAAUUUGGAUGAUGAUCACUCAGGUAAUGUAAUCUGAAAUCAUGUCGCCUGUCUUGCAAACUGAGGCGAAGGAAGAGAAUACUUCAUUCCUGCCUAACAAAACACAAAUCAAAGUUCACAGUUGCAGCAU